rnacentral:rRNA from 1 species
CCUAGUUGAUCCUACCAAUAGUCAUAUGGUUGUCUUAAUGAUUAAGCCAUGCAUGUGUAAGAAUGAACAAAUUAAGACUAUGAAACUGUGAAUGGCUCAUUAAAUCAGUUAUAAUUUGUUUGAAAGUAUCUACUACUCGGAUAACCAUAGUAAUUCUAGAGAUAAUACAUGCAUAAAACUGCGACUUUUGGAAGAGAAGUAUUUAUUAGAUAAAAGGUCGACGCACUCUCUAUCCAUUACUGCGAUGAUUUAUGAUAACUCGACGGAUCACUUGGCCAUCGUGCCAGCAUUGCUUAUUCAAAUUUCUGCCUAAUAAACUUUUAAUGGUAGGAUAAUGGACCACUAUAGUGGUGAUAGGUGAUGGAGAAUUAAUGUUCAAUUUUGAAGAGGAAUUAUAAAAUUGGCUGCCACAUCCAGGAAAGACAGCAGGAGCGCAAAUUACCCAAUCCUAACAUAGGAAGGCAGUGACAAUAAAGAAAAAUACCGGACUUAAUGAGUCUGGUAGUUAGAAUGAGUACAAUCUAUGUCCCUUAAUGAGGAUCCAUUAGAGGGCAUGUCUUCUACCCGCAGUUGUUGUAAUUCACCCUCCAAUAGCCUAUAUUUAUGUUUUUGCAGUUAAAAAGUUUGUAGUUGUUCUUUGGGAUGGGCCAACCGAUCCGCGUAUGGUAUGCACUGGUCAUCUCAUCCCUUCUGUCGGCAAUGUGCUCUUGGACAUAACUGGUCAGGUAGUGUCUCCAGAACGGUUACUUUGAAGAAAUUAUAGAGCUCAAAGCAAGCCUAUGCUCUGUAUAAAUCAGCAUGGGAUAACAUUAUUGGAUUUUGGUCUUAUUAUGUUGGCCUUUGGGAUUAACAAGGACAUUCGAGGGCAUUUGUAUUUCGUAGUCAAACAUGAAAUUCAUGGAUUUAUUAAAGACAAACAACUAUGAAAUCAUUUGACAAAGAUAUUUUAAUUAAUAUAAAAAAAUUGGGGGCUCUAAGAAGUUAAGAUACCGUCCUAGUCUUAAUCACAAAUGAUGCUGACCAGGGAUGACCAAUGUUGCUUUUAGGAUUACGCCGGCACCUUAUGAGAAAUCAAAGUUUUUGGUUUUCAGGAGAAGUAUGGUUGCAAGGCUUAAACUUAAAAGAAUUGAAAGAAGGUAACCUCUUGUAUUGGAGGUUGUGGCUAAAUUUAACUAUACACAGGGAAACUUACCACGUCCACAAUAGUAAGGAUUGACAGACCAAAAGCUCUUUCUUUAUUCUAUGGGUUGUGGUGCAUGGCCGUUUUUAGUUUGUGGAGCAAUUUUUCUUGUUAAUUCCAUUAACAAAUGAGACCUCAGCCUGCCAACUAGAUAUGCAGAGGUAUCUCUUCGCAGCCAGCAUCUUAGAGGUCCUACGACCUUUUAGGCCAUAAAAAUGUAAGGCAAUAACAAGUCUAUGAUGCCUUUAAAAUUUCUGGGUCGAACACCCACUACACUGAUGUAUUCAACGAGUUCAUAGCCUCUGCCGAUGAUGUUGGGCGUAUUUAUACGUCUAAGCAUCAUAACUUACCCAUGUUUUAGCUAAGUUUUGAGGAUAAAAUGCAUAAUUCUUGCACUUUUAGUCUAUUUUUAGU